CCCUUAGUUAUCCUAGGCCGCACGCGUGUUACAAUGACUUUUUCAGCAAGUUCUCCUGGCCCGAGAGGGUGCGGGUAAUCUGAAAUCAAAGUCGUGCUAGGGAUAGAUCUUUGCAAUUAUAGAUCUUGAACGAGGAUUUUGUAGUAAGUGCGCGUCAUCACCGCGUACUGACUGCGUCCCUGCUGUUUGUACACACCGCCCGUCGCUUCUACCGAUUGAAUGUUCCGGUGAGUAAUUUGGACCCGGGGGGGCUUGCUCCUCUGGGGAAGUUUCGCAAACCUAUGCAUUUAGAGGAAGAAGAAGUCGUAACA
rnacentral:rRNA from 1 species